GACGAACGCUGGCGGCGUGCUUAACACAUGCAAGUCGAGCGGUAAGGCCCUUUCGGGGGUACGACGAGCGGCGAACGGGUGAGUAACACGUGGGCGACCUGCCCUUAGUUCUGGGAUAAGCCUGGGAAACUGGGUCUAAUACCGGAUAUGACUCCAUGACGCAUGUUGUGGGGUGGAAAGCCUUGUGCGGCUAGGGAUGGGCCCGCGGCCUAUCAGCUUGUUGGUGGGGUGAUGGCCUACCAAGGCGACGACGGGUAGCCGGCCUGAGAGGGCGACCGGCCACACUGGGACUGAGACACGGCCCAGACUCCUACGGGAGGCAGCAGUGGGGAAUCUUGCGCAAUGGGCGAAAGCCUGACGCAGCGACGCCGCGUGA
rnacentral:rRNA from 1 species